AGGACCAUGGCUUAGUGGCUAGGGUAUUUGGUUCACAAUCAUAUGGUUGUGAGUUCAAUUCCUGGUGCUG
rnacentral:tRNA from 1 species